GAUGCCGGAUAGGUAGUAGUUGGAACUUUGGGGUUUGCUUCCUCACACAACAUCGCCGUAGGGACCAAGGGGACAUUCUUGAUCAGAAUAGCACCUCCUCCCUUGUUCGAUAGUCCCCUAGAUGCUUUGAUUUGAGAUAACUCAGCCUUGCUGAUUAGAAUCCUGGUAGCUUUUGAAAACAGAGGGAAUGCACGAUCCUUACCAACAUGAAGGGGGAGGCGUCUUGCUGUUAGCGAUGAGCCACAAACAGCCAUGAGAGAGGGUAUAGAAGCAGCAAUGGACGGCAGGCAAAUCACGCAGAUUGGAAGAUACGGCGCUUGACGUAAGGGGCAAAGCAAAGGCUCUCAUUUGAUUAAUGCCCACCGAUCGAGUGGUAGGUGCCAAAUGGUCGUCCGCCGUCUCCAAGUACAACUAAUUUCCAUUCAAGAAGAACAGCGAAAUGUAGUUUUAGGUGAGACUGCGUGACUGUGUAUCUUCGUCUAAGAUGCCUAAACCUUGCAGUGUUGUUCGUUCUUUGUUGCAUGUUCACGUUUCUUGAUGAUGAUCAGCCUGCAAACAAUUUGUUAGGUCAAACUGGAGGUUUAUGUGGGUUUAAUCUUCUUUCUUUCUAAUCAGCUGGCAUAAACUGAUAAGUUGGUAGAGGAACUUAGUAGUCUUAUAACAGGAAGCCAGAUCUGGUAGAAUUUUAGUCUAGGGCUUAGGUUUUGCUUCAGAUAACUGUGGCUUAGUAAGAUGGCAUGAUCAGUGCACCGUGCCAUGCAUGCAUGCAACGAGAUCUAAAAUACUCAUUAGUGACUGCUGCAACAUGCAGCCAGGAAACAACUCGUA